CAGCCGCCGCGGUAAUACCGGCGGCCCGAGUGGCGGCCACUAUUAAUGGGCCUAAAGCGUCCGUAGCCGGGCUGGUAAGUCCCCCGGGAAAUCUGGCGGCUUAACCGUCAGAAUUCCGGGGGAUACUGCCAGCCUAGGGACCGGGAGAGGCCGGGGGGAUUCCCGGGGUAGGGGUGAAAUCCUAUAAUCCCGGGAGGACCACCUGUGGCGAAGGCGCUCGGCUGGAACGCGUCCGACGGUGAGGGACGAAGGCCAGGGGAGCAAACCGGAUUAGAUACCCGGGUAGUCCUGGCUGUAAACGAUGCGGACUUUGUGUCGGACAAGCUAUGAGCUUGUCCGGUGCCGGAGGGAAACCGUUAAGUCCGCCGCCUGGGGAGUACGGCCGCAAGGCUGAAACUUAAAGGAAUUGGCGGG
rnacentral:rRNA from 1 species